rnacentral:lncRNA from 1 species
GCUAAAAGAAAGGUGCAUAUAUAAAAAUUUAUAAUAAUGAUGUUUACAUAUAUAUACUUGGAUUCCUCACUGAUGGUCCACCUCUUGCGUAUUCAUCCUUUUAUUAACGCGCAGACAAGAUUUAAACAAAUUUAAUUAGUACAGACUGUGAGACCCAAUUGUAUUGCCUUGUUCAGUCACUGCCAUCGAUUAAUUGGUAAUCGAAUAAUGGGUGUAAUUCGACUAGACCCUGUAACUAGGAGCAACUUGGCUUUAGCCAGUUUAACAGUAGUCCACCGUUAUCAAAUAACAAAACCAAAACAAGUACACUUCUCCAUGGACUUAAUAUUGUUUUCUGAAUUGUCCAAAGAAGGAGACCAUCACUGAACUGUUAGAACA